rnacentral:misc_RNA from 1 species
UACGGAGGGUGCAAGCGUUAUCCGGAUUCACUGGGUUUAAAGGGUGCGUAGGAGGGCAGGUAAGUCAGUGGUGAAAUCUCUGGGCUCAACCCAGAAACUGCCGUUGAUACUAUCUGUCUUGAAUCCCGUUGAGGUGAGCGGAAUAUGUCAUGUAGCGGUGAAAUGCUUAGAUAUGACAUAGAACACCAAUUGCGAAGGCAGCUCGCUAAACGAAGAUUGACUCUGAGGCACGAAAGCGUGGGGAUCAAACAGG